AUACCUCGGACAGAUGCGUGUGUCCAUAAUCUUUGGCAUGCUCCACAGUGAUUGAAUUGUUCACGAAGGUACACUAAAAGAGAAAAGGAGAAAAGCCAAAAUUAGUUCAUUGAGGUUGCAAAACUACAAUCUAAUACUAAUGUUGUCGCACAAUUGCUAUUCUAUAACUUCGUCACAUAAGCAUGGUUUUUUGUAGGUGUCUAUUUUCUGCUUUUAGAAACGGUUCCGUUUAUAUUUAUUUUCCUCACUAAUUACAAUCACCAACUCUCACUAAUUAUCAUCACUAACUACACAUCAUAUAUUAU